rnacentral:tRNA from 1 species
GCCUUCGUGGUGUAGUGGUCAGCACGCUGGGCGCGUAUUCCAGAGGUCCGUGGUUCGAUUCUCGGCGAAGGCG